rnacentral:rRNA from 1 species
CGUAGGGUGCGAGCGUUAAUCGGAAUUACUGGGCGUAAAGCGUGCGCAGGCGGUUAUGUAAGACAGAUGUGAAAUCCCCGGGCUCAACCUGGGACCUGCAUUUGUGACUGCAUAGCUAGAGUACGGUAGAGGGGGAUGGAAUUCCGCGUGUAGCAGUGAAAUGCGUAGAUAUGCGGAGGAACACCGAUGGCGAAGGCAAUCCCCUGGACCUGUACUGACGCUCAUGCACGAAAGCGUGGGGAGCAAACAGGAUUAGAUACCCUGGUAGUCACGCCCUAAACGAUGUCAACUGGUUGUUGGGUCUUCACUGACUCAGUAACGAAGCCAACGCGUGAAGUUGACCGCCUGGGGAGUACGGCCGCAAGGUUG